rnacentral:rRNA from 1 species
AUAUUUAGUGGCGAAAGGGUGAGGAAUAGAUAGGAAUGUACCUUGAACUUCAGGAUAGUGUCCCGAAAGGGGCGGUAAUACUGGAUAAUGUGGGUAACCACCAAAGAUUUAUCGGUGCAAGAGCAGCCUAUCUCCUAUCAGCUUGUUGGUGAGGUAAUGGCUCACCAAGGCGACGACGGGUAGCGGGACUGAGAGGUUGGCCCGCCACAUCGGAACUGAGACACUGUCCGGACCUCCACGGAGGGCUGCAGUAACGAAUAUUGGGCAAUGGGCGAAAGCCCGACCCAGCAAUGCCGCGUAUAGGAUGAAGUCUCUCGGGAUGUAAACUAUUGUCAGGUCCUAGAAAGUGUGUUUCGGCACAUUGAUCAGGACCGGAGGAAGCAACGGCUAACUUCGUGCCAGCAGCCGCGGUAAUACGAAGGUUGCAAGCGUUGUUCGAAAUCACUGGGCUUAAAGGGCGCGUAGGCGGAACUGAAAGUGUCUUGUGAAAUCCCCCAGCUCAACUGGGGAAUUGCUCGGCAAACUACAGUUCUUGAGAUAAGCAGGGGUGCAUGGAACUCUUGGUGGAGCGGUGGAAUGCGUAGAUAUCAAGAGGAACGCCAGUGGUGAAGACGGUGCACUGGGCUUAUACUGACGCUGACGCGCGAAAGCGUGGGGAGCAAACAGGAUUAGAUACCCUGGUAGUCCACGCUGUAAACGAUGUCUACUAGUGGUGGCAGUUUCUGACGCUGUCACGACCGAAGCAAAAGUGCUAAGUAGACCGCCUGGGGGAGUACGGCCGCAAGGCUAAACUCAAGAAUUGACGGGGGCUCACACAAGCGGUGGA